rnacentral:lncRNA from 1 species
GGCAAAUAUUCUCUAGCUGUUUUACAUCAUGCUCACAAACGUUUUCUUUUUUAACAGAAGUCAUCUUGGUAUUUUCUUCAGUAUUGUUAUUAAUUUUGCUUUGAAGGCUUCUGGACUCAGUUGUCUUGGGCCCUUUAUCCUCCAACCAAGUGGUAAUUGUCCGCUGUUUACAAGCUUUGUUCCCCACGGCGGUGACGGAGCUGCCCCCCCCGGGCCCCUCUGGGCCGCUGUCGGGAGGCGGCGGCCGCUGCUCUCCCUGUGAGCCGCCGCCGGGGCUGAGCCGGGCUCUCUUGCAGGGGUGGUCCCGCCCGCAGCCCGCGCUCAUCCUCGGCGGGUACGCCUCCCUCCGCCCGCCCGGCCCGCUUCAGCCGCGCGGGCCCGCCAGCGGCCGUCGAGGCCGGGCGGCAGCCGUCCUCCAGGGACGGCGCGACGACGCGGCGGCACCGACUCUGCCCUCCCGCAUCCUCCGGCCCGCGGCGCCGGGCUGCUCCCGUCGCGCCUCGCACCAAAAUGGCCGCCCGCCACGCU